GGUCUCUCUAUAGUGGCCUCACGGUCUCCAGCCAGGAGCUCGAUCUUUGCUUCUGCACAAACAUUACCGAGAAACGUCUGCAAACCCCGGGCGCCCGGCUCCCACAUCACAGGCGCUGCGCCUCAGAACACAACUUGUUUCUGCCGAUCCACCCCCCACCGCCGCCUCCCCGGGCACCUCGCCACGCAGGACGCUCCGGGCUUCCCGUAAGAACACCCGUGUCUGUGACCUGCGGGUGGGGUCACCUCCCCGGCCUGCAUGCCAGACAGCACACAGGCCAGGACGUCAGGGUCUCGUGAGGGGCCGUCGGAGAACGUCUAAGGGACGUCCCUGCAUUCCUGGCUGGAGGUCCUGCGCCAGCGCCCUCCUUGUGAGAACACUUUCGCUCUGCAAACUCUCAGAGCCCCCACCUGCUCCCGCCUCCCGUCUGUCCUGGUUCUUGGGACCCCGGAGCCUUCUCUGUCCAGACCUCCCAGGUCCUGACGGGAAUCCGGAUAAACUCCUUGGGGCGAAGGUGUUAACGGCAGGGCCCCUGUCUAAUGUAUUUCGCCACCCAGAUAAAAUGAGUGUUUUC
rnacentral:lncRNA from 1 species